AGUGUUUGAGCGACAGGUGGCGCUGCAACUUUACGCUUUAGGUUUGGACAUCCGGGAAUCUUAAUGGCCCGCCAAAGCGCGAAACCCACUGAUCUAAAAAUUAAAAAAAAAAAUGGCUUUAUGGAAGUUCAAAUCCUAUUUCAAAUUCAAAUCCCGGUGGCACUCGUCUACUUCCAUAUGGAUAGCUGAAGUCGCCGGAAGCAGAUAUCCGCCAUCUUGAUACUCCCAAAACAACCAUCCUGGCCCACGUUAAUCGCCAGUUUCCCGGCUGUGAAUAUGUAUUUACAUAUCCAUUGUUAACACUUGGGAGUAAAUGUCUGUGGAUAUGUAUUUCUAAAUAAAACAUACAUGAAUUUCCCUUAAAGCUGAUCUUACUCGUAUGUUUUUAAGUUAAAUCCUGAAUCAUGUUGGGCUGAGUGGCAGCGUGCCUCCGGAUUUCACUUUUUGAAGGAGUUGUGAUGUUCAUUUGGCGAUGGAGACUCGCUCGUUUAAAACCCGGAAAUUCCUUGACGCCAUUCAACUGAGAUGAAUUGAGAAACCUUUUGUUGCCAGUCGACAACGCAGAGCGCAGCAACCUUUUCGAGGCGACGUCAGAAUGCGUCCUCGACUUUGUCUUUUAGCAGUGGCCACGCGGGCCUCGUGUGACCACACAGACGCACGUGCGCUAGACCAGGCGGAUGGAGAUAAAGGCUUGGCGGGUGGCAGUUGAACGGUUGGAAGGAGCCGAGAGCAGCGCCGCUCGGUCGGGGGUGGCAUAUCUCGACCGGGCAUCGCUGAGCUGUGAGUUAUUAGUU